GAAGUGUUUUGGCCCCGCUGGGGAGCCGUAAGGCGCUUCCGGAAACAUGGCGGCGCCCAGCGGGGGCCGGAAGCGGCGGAGGUGCCGCUGCUGUGUCCGUCCCCGCCCGCUCUCCUCCUGCCUCCGGGACCAUGCGGGCCUCCCCUCCCCGGGCGAGGCAUGGCGGCGGCGGCGGCGCCGGAGCAGCUGCGAGGCCGGAGCCUGCCGGAACUGCGGGAGAUGCUGAGUCGGCAGGAGAAGCUGCUGGGGGACCGAAAUGUAUCAUUUGCCUACUUUUCUACGAAGAUCAAUAGCUGUUAUUUACGUGCUGGUUUCCUGCUACUUGGUGCCCCUCAAAGCACCUCAC